GAUGAACGCUGGCGGCGUGCCUAAUACAUGCAAGUCGAGCGAACAGACGAGGAGCUUGCUCCUCUGACGUUAGCGGCGGACGGGUGAGUAACACGUGGAUAACCUACCUAUAAGACUGGGAUAACUUCGAGAAACCGGAGCUAAUACCGGAUAAUAUAUUGAACCGCAUGGUUCAAUAGUGAAAGACGGUUUUGCUGUCACUUAUAGAUGGAUCCGCGCCGCAUUAGCUAGUUGGUAAGGUAACAGCUUACCAAGGCAACGAUGCGUAGCCGACCUGAGAGGGUGAUCGGCCACACUGGAACUGAGACACGGUCCAGACUCCUACGGGAGGCAGCAGUAGGGAAUCUUCCGCAAUGGGCGAAAGCCUGACGGAGCAACGCCGCGUGAGUGAUGAAGGUCUUCGGAUCGUAAAACUCUGUUAUUAGGGAAGAACAAAUGUGUAAGUAACUAUGCACGUCUUGACGGUACCUAAUCAGAAAGCCACGGCUAACUACGUG
rnacentral:rRNA from 1 species